AUUGAACGCUGGCGGCAGGCUUAACACAUGCAAGUCGAGCGGAGAGAGGUAGCUUGCUACUGAUCUUAGCGGCGGACGGGUGAGUAAUGCUUAGGAAUCUGCCUAUUAGUGGGGGACAACAUUUCGAAAGGAAUGCUAAUACCGCAUACGUCCUACGGGAGAAAGCAGGGGAUCUUCGGACCUUGCGCUAAGAGAUGAGCCUAAGUCGGAUUAGCUAGUUGGUGGGGUAAAGGCCUACCAAGGCGACGAUCUGUAGCGGGUCUGAGAGGAUGAUCCGCCACACUGGGACUGAGACACGGCCCAGACUCCUACGGGAGGCAGCAGUGGGGAAUAUUGGACAAUGGGCGGAAGCCUGAUCCAGCCAUGCCGCGUGUGUGAAGAAGGCCUUAUGGUUGUAAAGCACUUUAAGCGAGGAGGAGGCUACUUUAGUUAAUACCUAGAGAUAGUGGACGUUACUCGCAGAAUAAGCACCGGCUAACUCUGUGCCAGCAGCCGCCGUAAAAC
rnacentral:rRNA from 1 species